UACGAAGGGGGCUAGCGUUGCUCGGAAUCACUGGGCGUAAAGCGCACGUAGGCGGGUUCCCAAGUCGGGGGUGAAAUCCUGGAGCUCAACUCCAGAACUGCCUUCGAUACUGGCGAUCUUGGAGUCCGGGAGAGGUGAGUGGAACUGCGAGUGUAGAGGUGAAAUUCGUAGAUAUUCGCAAGAACACCAGUGGCGAAGGCGGCUCACUGGCCCGGUACUGACGCUGAGGUGCGAAAGCGUGGGGAGCAAACAGG
rnacentral:rRNA from 1 species